UGGGAACUGCNUUCUGAACUGGGUGACUAGAGUGUGUCAGAGGGAGGUAGAAUUCCACGUGUAGCAGUGAAAUGCGUAGAGAUGUGGAGGAAUACCGAUGGCGAAGGCAGCCUCCUGGGAUAACACUGACGUUCAUGCCCGAAAGCGUGGGUAGCAAACAGGAUUAGAUACCCUGGUAGUCCACGCCCUAAACGAUGUCGAUUAGCUGUUGGGCAGCAUGACUGCUUAGUAGCGAAGCUAACGCGUGAAAUCGACCGCCUGGGGAGUACGGUCGCAAGAUUAAAACUCAAAGGAAUUGACGGGGACCCGCACAAGCGGUGGAUGAUGUGGAUUAAUUCGAUGCAGCGCGAAGAACCUUACCUGGUCUUGACAUGUACGGAACCCUCCAGAGACGGAGGGGUGCCUUCGGGAGCCGUAACACAGGUGCUGCAUGGCUGUCGUCAGCUCGUGUCGUGAGAUGUUGGGUUAAGUCCCGCAACGAGCGCAACCCUUGUCAUUAGUUGCCAUCAUUAAGUUGGGCACUCUAAUGAGACUGCCGGUGACAAGCCGGAGGAAGGUGGGGAUGACGUCAAGUCCUCAUGGCCCUUAUGACCAGGGCUUCACACGUCAUACAAUGGUCGGUACAGAGGGUAGCCAAGCCGCGAGGUGGAGCCAAUCUCACAAAACCGAUCGUAGUCCGGAUUGCACUCUGCA
rnacentral:rRNA from 1 species